GGCAGUUGGCAUAUCCCUCGUUUCAUAGCUAGGAUCCUCAGAGGCAGCAGCUCUACCAGGUAGAUUAGGAGGCCACCUCCUCCCCAGGACCCACAGGUGAAACAAAUCAUGCCUGAGUCUUCCCUGCAUGCAUAUGGAUGCUGUUGCACGAGGACUAAGACAGAGGAGAAGGCAAGGUGUGUUUGGCCACUAAUGUGUGUGGCCACAGUGCACUGACUGGCUCCUAAACCACUUGGCCCCUUGGCUACUAACACACAGCAACACCAUCGCCCAGCUGGGCAGCUGAUUGUAAUGGCUGCUUGUUUAAGAAGAGCAACUGCCUUAUUUCAAGCUGGAGAGGAGCAAAACAAGGCAAGAGGUACUGCUGAUCAUGAUGUUGAGGUUAUGUGCUCCCAGAUAUGCAGGGCAGCAGGUCCCAGGAGUGUCUGCGGGUGCUCAUGGAGCAGCUCUGCCAGCCUGGGAGAGGAUCACAGAAGAAACAAAAUCCGUGUGUGUGAUUUGGAAGAAGAGACCCAGUUGCAUCACAGCCCAGACCAGCUAUGUCUUGUGAAACCCAGCCGUGAUUAAAACAACAGACAUGUU